rnacentral:rRNA from 1 species
CCCUUAGAUGUUCGGGGCUGCACAUGCGCUACACUGAAGGAAUCAACGUGUAUUUGCCCUUGCCCGAAAGGGUUGGGUAACCCGUUGAACCUCCUUCGUGCUAGGGAUUGGGGCUUGUAAUUAUUCCCCAUGAACGAGGAAUUCCCAGUAAGCGCGAGUCAUAAGCUCGCGUUGAUUACGUCCCUGCCCUUUGUACACACCGCCCGUCGCUACUACCGAUUGAAUGGUUUAGUGAGAUCCUCGGAUUGGUCCCGCCACGGGAGGAAACUUUCGAGGCGGAGUGCCGAGAAGACGAUCAAACUUGAUCAUUGAGAGGAAGUAAAAGUCGUAACA